rnacentral:lncRNA from 1 species
UAUUGAGAAGACAAUGGUGAUGAUGUUAUCUUCUUCCUCUACUUUCUCACUUCUUCACCCAAACCCACUUCUUCCUUUUCACUAUUCUCUCUCUUUUUCUUCCAAAAAUCUCACCUUUUCACAUAUCAAACCCUCUUCUCUUACCCUCUCAGCUUCUUCUAUUGAUUCACCACUUGUUGCACAACCACAACAAGAUGAGUCACUUCUAAAUGAAUCUGAAUCCAUUCCUCAGGUUUACUCUUUCUUUUCCUUUUUCUACAAUUCAUUAUGUAUCUAUGUAUGUAUGUUCUUGUAAUUCCAGUUACAAUACUCAAAAGGGGUGGAAUAUUUCUGGAUAAUAUGUUGCAUUUAAUAAAUACAAAUUUCCAAGAUUUAUUUUUUAUGUGAACCCUCAUUUUGGCCCUGAAAUUUGAAGUACUGGUCAUGUUAUUUGUUGAUUUUAGGAAAUUAUCAUAUUAAUCCUUGAGUUAUAGUAGUUUAGUUCUUAAUAUCAAUAGUCAUUCAUUCAAAUUUAUUAGGACUCAUUUGACUGAGAUAUUACAAAUUCAGUGACUAAUUUAUAGGUUUACUUAAGUUAGAGACUAAUAUCUCCCAACACUUAAAUUUAAGGGACUGAUAUGUUGAUUUACUUAGUCAAGAUGCAUGCCAAAUCAUUCUCUAAAAAUGAUUUGGCAUGGAUAUUGACUCUAUGGACGAGUCCGAGUCGUUUCCGGUUCCAUCACUUUAUUAAAGCUUACACUUCUUGGAUGUUGCUGAAUUUUGUGUACCUAGUUUUUCCUGGCUGUGCAUAGCAUUACUCCAUAUUUUAUUUUGAAAUGCCUUUUUUUCGAUCUCUAAUUUAAGCUGAAAAAUAUUAUGCUCAUGUAUCUUUUUGUUGGUUUUACUGUUAGAAGCUUGGCGUGGUUGUGAAGCCAAAUGACAAGCCAAGGCUUGUGUUGAAGUUCAUUUGGAUGGAGAAGAACAUUGGCAUUGCACUUGACCAAAUGAUACCGGGUCAUGGCACGAUUCCCUUGAGUCCUUACUACUUUUGGCCUAGGAAAGAUGCUUGGGAGGAGCUUAGGGAGUUACUCGAGAGCAAGCCUUGGAUAUCUCAGAAGCAGAUGAUUAUUCUCCUGAAUCAAGC